AAUAACACAAGGAGAAAAAGAAGAAAGAGAGACAGAAUAUUUGAAGCUUCAAUUUUCUAACACUUUUUCCUUCAGAUCAGUACAAUCACUGAAUUCACUCUAUAGAGAAAGAAGAUUAAAAAAAGGAGGUUAUAUACGGCCAAAAAAGGACUCUGGGAACUUUGCUGAUGUGUUUAAAGCUACUGUACUUUACAGUUCUUAUUUCAGAAGUAAAAUGAUAAACAAAAAACAAAGCACUUUUAAUCUUCAAAGCAAUGUAUGAUCAAUAACAACUUCACAGCACUCAAUAUUUAAGGAUCGUAAUCUGUAUUUUACUCCAGGAAAGAAAGAUGUGUACAGAAUGAGUGAUCUGCCCAGGUCCAACACUGAACUGGGGAUAGAACUCACACAUCACAAGCUUCUUUGUUAAACACAAACCCAUGCUUUCAUUUAGCAGUUGUUCUUUUGUUAGCAGUUUUUAUUUGAGGAACUCAUUAUUAUAAUAAAUAAAUUAUGGACUUUUUUUUUCCAGCCCCUGCAGAAACAUUUGAGAUGGUGGUAGAGGUACACCCCAGGGUUAUUUAGCAAUAUAUUUAGCACAACACACCAAUUAACUUACUAUGCCUGAAAUCAAUCUAACUAUUUCAAGAGGUUACUCAACUAUCUGCAAGGGUCAACACAUGAAUCACAUCAGCAGCAGCUUCCUUGUUAAAUCACAUUUAGGGUCAGGGCAUUGUGCAGGACACAGCCAGUCUCUGGGGAGAGCUCUGAUUUCUGACCCCAGCUUCCGAGAAUCUGACCCACACACUGAAUCUUGCAAUACUGGUACUGAUCUCAGUCUCAUCUUUGUCCAUCUAAACCACCAGAGAUCCCUCCAGGAGCAGAAGCAGCAGGACGUUGGAAAGAUGCUCAGUCAAGGAUCAAUUUAAUUGGAAUGUUACAACUGCCCGCAGUCCAGGUAUUAGCAAAAAUCCUGAAAUAUGUACAAACCAAUUCCAAAAGUUUCUCCUGGAAACUUACACCUCUCAAACUACAAGGAAAAAGAUUCUCAUGUCAUUGUACUGUAAACUUUUUGUGAGUGCUGAGAGAUUUAAUUUACAUAAUAAUGCUGCAAGCAGGCUGGGUGUAUGGGGAGAGAGUUCCUUAGCACCAGUAAUGAGCAGAAAGGAGAAGGCAGCUCCAGUCCCCACAGACUGUUUUGCUUCCCAUAAUUUCAGAGUCUAAUAAUGCCUUUUAAUAAGCUGCUCUCAGCUAUGAAGCUGCAAUCAGCCUUUGUGAGAGAACACAAUGCUGUCCCAGACAGGAAAAUAGUUCUGCUGGAAUGGACAAAAGACCCCUCCUCAAUAAAGGCUUUCUAAUAACAGGGAGAAAGAAGGUCUAUCAGUGAAAAACAAAUUAUGCUUUCUGUAUCAUGUAUUCUUUCAUUUCUUAAAUGCUAGAUGUCAAAAGUAUAUCUGUUAAAGCAAAAUACAGUCUAGAAACACAUUUUCUAGUCUACUCCAGUCCCAGUUCACAAUUAGACAAACUUGCUAAUUUAUAGGGUAUUUAUGCCCUGUAAGUGCACUCCAAAUGACGACUGACCAUGUUAAUUCUCUGUUUAUAGUCAAUGCUACCCACUUAGUCUCUGAGCUAAAAAUUCAACUACAUGAGAUUUGAAAUCUUCCUAAGCCAAGUGAAUGCAGGAUCCAGUGGAGACACAGACCCUCCUCUGAGGGAGCACCACACUGAGACUGAACAACGUUUGCACUGAUCACAUCACGGGAGCUUUUCCUCCCUUUUAAAACUUGCUUCUACUUGCAAGCUAUUUCAUGCCCCUCUGAGAUAACAGCAGUGUGCAGUGACACAGCAGAGCUGAAGGGAGAGCAUCUCACUGCCACGUCCUAUCAAUUCCUGUCCUUUCCAUACACAAGGUUAAAUGACUCCAGAAGCCUCCCCACAGGGCUGCCAUUGUCCUCAGUCAGGGCUGCACACAAAGUGCUCAUUCAUGUGCACGGCAAACGAGCAACCAAGGGCCAGUGAUCAGCAUCCAGGCUCAUUCUGGGUCUUCUGCAAACAGUUUGUAGAAAGAUGGCAUUUCAAUAAACUACAUCCAUUUUCCAAAGCUUCAAUGCUUUCCUAGUACAAACUACUUAGUGGGGAGUCCACACAAAAAUUAAGACAAUGUGAAGAAUCACCCAAAAAAAAAUCAUGAGGACCACUUAUUAAAAAGAUCUGCUUGCUACAACCACAUGCAAAAAGAUUAAGUUUUAAUUGUUAGAGAAAUACACAUUCAGAAAACCUCAAAACAGCUGACUCUUUCCAAAGACAGUCAUACCAUGCUUUUGUUCUGGAGUUCCACUUAGUGUUCAGCCUCAGAGCUUGUAUUACUUAAAGGGUACAGACACCAAGGUUCCAAAGUGCACUUAAGGCUGUUUACUUCAUAUCUUCUGGUUAAGGACCCAAGAGAUUUAGGACUUGGGUUUUUUGUUUUGCUUUGCUUUUUUUUCAACAUGUAAGAAAUAGAAAAACCAAACGCAGUACGACCAAAAUCCAACGCUGCUGAUAACUGGAGACACAAGCCUCACGAACCUCUUCAUUGUUUUGC